rnacentral:tmRNA from 3 species
GGGGAUGAUCGGUUUCGACUGGGGAUGUCGAAGCAGGGGAAGCGAGCCGAGGAAGCGGCAAUGAUCUCGUUAACCAUAUGUCGCAAAACAUAAUCGCCAACACCAAGCGCGAUGCCUCCGCUUUCUCCCUCGCUGCCUAAUAAGUAGCUAGAGAGAAAGCUCUACGGAGUGUCAGCCCAGGAGCUGUUCCCGGCCUGGAUCCUGGCAUAAUCAAGGGAACUAAACUUCAUGACCCGGUCACGGGGGCUUGAAGGAAACCAAACAGUGACUGAGCCCGUUGGCAACUUGUCCGCGUGAUUGCCAGGGCUGAGAAAAGCACAGCGGACUGCGCUCGGAGAAGCCCUGAUUCCGCACCACAGGACGCGGGUUCGAUUCCCGCCAUCUCCACCA